rnacentral:lncRNA from 1 species
CCUUAUCAUGAUAGAAUUAGACGCAGAAUCUCUCCUGAGAACUUGAAUGACUUUUCUGUUUCUUCCAGACAAUGAUCUUUCUCUUCUCGUGUCCAUUCCUAAAGAAACAACAAAGGAUUACCAUCAUUACAAAAAAAAAAAACACUAUCACUUUAGCCUUUGCAGCCUAGACAUGAAGAAAAAAGUUGAAAUCAACUUAUUGGUUAUAUGCCACAAGAUUGUGACGAAAAUAUAUGCAAAUAAUCAAGAGUUUUCAUGAAACAUACUUCAGCAACUUUAUUCAGUUUGUCCCUCACAUUCUGCAACAACUGCUUAAGGUCGCCAUCCCAUUUAUAGAACUCCAAAGCUUGGUCGUUAAGUAACUGACCAGCAAUCU